AAUAGAUACCCCGGUAGUCCACGCCGUAAACGAUGAGUGCUAAGUGUUAGAGGGUUUCCGCCCUUUAGUGCUGCAGCUAACGCAUUAAGCACUCCGCCUGGGGAGUACGGUCACAAGACUGAAACUCAAAGGAAUUGACGGGGGCCCGCACAAGCGGUGGAGCAUGUGGUUUAAUUCGAAGCAACGCGAAGAACCUUACCAGGUCUUGACAUCCUCUGACAACUCUAGAGAUAGAGCGUUCCCCUUCGGGGGACAGAGUGACAGGUGGUGCAUGGUUGUCGUCAGCUCGUGUCGUGAGAUGUUGGGUUAAGUCCCGCAACGAGCGCAACCCUUGAUCUUAGUUGCCAGCAUUUAGUUGGGCACUCUAAGGUGACUGCCGGUGACAAACCGGAGGAAGGUGGGGAUGACGUCAAAUCAUCAUGCCCCUUAUGACCUGGGCUACACACGUGCUACAAUGGAUGGUACAAAGGGCUGCAAGACCGCGAGGUCAAGCCAAUCCCAUAAAACCAUUCUCAGUUCGGAUUGUAGG
rnacentral:rRNA from 1 species